rfam:Neotoma lepida isolate 417 scaffold_18, whole genome shotgun sequence.
GGCUUGCUGGACACUCUUUCCCUGUUGCACUACUGUGGGCCCCUGGGGAGCAGUGCAAUGAUGAAAGGGCAUCUGUCAGGCC